GGAAACGACUGCUAAUACCGCAUAAUGUCUACGGACCAAAGGGGGCUUCGGCUCUCGCCUUUAGAUUGGCCCAAGUGGGAUUAGCUAGUUGGUGAGGUAAUGGCUCACCAAGGCGACGAUCCCUAGCUGGUUUGAGAGGAUGAUCAGCCACACUGGGACUGAGACACGGCCCAGACUCCUACGGGAGGCAGCAGUGGGGAAUAUUGCACAAUGGGCGCAAGCCUGAUGCAGCCAUGCCGCGUGUGUGAAGAAGGCCUUCGGGUUGUAAAGCACUUUCAGUCAGGAGGAAAGGUUAACGGUUAAUACCCGUUAGCUGUGACGUUACUGACAGAAGAAGCACCGGCUAACUCCGUGCCAGCAGCCGCGGUAAUACGGAGGGUGCGAGCGUUAAUCGGAAUUACUGGGCGUAAAGCGUACGCAGGCGGUUUGUUAAGCGAGAUGUGAAAGCCCCGGGCUCAACCUGGGAACUGCAUUUCGAACUGGCAAACUAGAGUGUGAUAGAGGGUGGUAGAAUUUCAGGUGUAGCGGUGAAAUGCGUAGAGAUCUGAAGGAAUACCGAUGGCGAAGGCAGCCACCUGGGUCAACACUGACGCUCAUGUACGAAAGCGUGGGGAGCAAACGGGAUUAGAUACCCCGGUAGUCCACGCCGUAAACGAUGUCUACUAGAAGCUCGGAGCCUCGGUUCUGUUUUUCAAAGCUAACGCAUUAAGUAGACCGCCUGGGGAGUACGGCCGCAAGGUUAAAACUCAAAUGAAUUGACGGGGGCCCGCACAAGCGGUGGAGCAUGUGGUUUAAUUCGAUG
rnacentral:rRNA from 1 species